UACGAAGGGGGCUAGCGUUGCUCGGAAUUACUGGGCGUAAAGCGCACGUAGGCGGCUUCUUAAGUCGGUGGUGAAAUCCUGGAGCUCAACUCCAGAACUGCCUUCGAUACUGGGAAGCUCGAGUCCGGGAGAGGUGAGUGGAACUGCGAGUGUAGAGGUGAAAUUCGUAGAUAUUCGCAAGAACACCGGUGGCGAAGGCGGCAUCCUGGACUACUACUGACGCUGAGGAGCGAAAGCCAGGAGAGCAAACGGG
rnacentral:rRNA from 1 species